rnacentral:rRNA from 1 species
CCUACGGGAGGCAGCAGUGAGGAAUAUUGGUCAAUGGACGAGAGUCUGAACCAGCCAAGUAGCGUGAAGGAUGACUGCCCUAUGGGUUGUAAACUUCGUUUAUAUGGGAAUAAAAUGUUCCACGUGUGGGAUUUUGUAUGUACCAUAUGAAUAAGGAUCGGCUAACUCCGUGCCAGCAGCCGCGGUAAUACGGAGGAUCCGAGCGUUAUCCGGAUUUAUUGGGGUUAAAGGGGGCGUAGGUGGAUUGUUAAGUCAGUUGUGAAAGUUUGCGGCUCAACCGUAAAAUUGCAGUUGAAACGGGCAGUCUUGAGUACAGUAGAGGGUGGCGGAAUUCGUGGUGUAGCGGUGAAAUGCUUAGAUAUCACGAAGAACUCCGAUUGCGAAGGCAGUUCACUGGACUGCAACUGACACUGAGGCUCGAAAGUGUGGGUAUCAAACAGGAUUAGAUACCCCAGUAGUC